rnacentral:miRNA from 1 species
AAGCCGGGCACCUUCCCCGGGCCAGGACGGCCGGGGCAUCUCGGGCGGGCGGUGCGGCUCC